rnacentral:rRNA from 1 species
UAAAGACCAGAAGGCUUUAGGUAGGACAGUUUGUUCUUUGUUUGGAGGAGAAAGAGGGAGGAGAGGGGAGAAGCUUAGUAGCGGCCUCGUGCUUAACCGGUAUCAAAGACCUAAGCUGCUACUUUAGCGGUAACGCGUUCAAAGCCCCGGAGCGGGAGGGGGUGGUGGUGUUCCUCUUCUUCCUGGUUGCCGGCGGCGGGCGGUUCGAGCUGUUGGAGCAGCUGCGGCGGGUCCUCUACCUCCUUUACUCUUGAACAAUACUAUCGAACGAAAGCCGACGUCGACGUUGUUGUUUAUCACAUAUACUCAAACGUCUUCGAUACCUUCUUUACCCUUGAACGAAUGAACUCUUUUGACGUAACCUAACGCUACUACUACUGUCACCGUCCCACGACUACUACGAUCCUUUCCGAGUUAAACUUGAUGUUUUCAAACACCUAUUGAUAGCAUGUUUAUAGUAUUUAUGUUAGUGUUUGGGAAGUCUCAGAGAAGAGUUCCUCGAUGUUCAACAUCUCCUGUACUUCCUGGUGACACUAGUCUUUUCUCUCCUUAUACUUUGGUACGCCAGUCGGAUGUUUCUAUUUCCUGCUAGUUCCGUAGGGUUUUGACUUUGUAAGAGGGGUCUUGUUAACGUUCGCAGGAUAGAGCUCAUGGUUCUUCUACGUUGUAAUAAGUAUAAAGCGAACUUUAGUAACUUCGUUCCAGUUAAGAACUCAUAAAAUUGUGUCCGACGAGCGGUAGUACGACGAGUCAACUCAAAAAAGUCCUUUCCCAACUUCAUAGAUCUCCGAGAUCUUGGAGUACAUUUUCGUCAACGACUCUUCGUCGUGUAACUAAUAGUGAAGUCACCUGAUCUACUACUGUGACUAUUACUACUAAUGUCGAGAAUGGUCCUGUUAGUAUCACUCCCGUCACUCAACUCAAAACUGAUGCCCUAUUUGAAAGGACGAAGGUCUUCAAGUUACCUAAACCUAGUCAGAUUAUACCGUUCAGGGUGCUUUGGAGACUUCCUUGUACUCGUCCUUGUACGGUUUGUUUAUCUCUGACUAAAACGUCGAGGAGCUCACUUCGGACUCAAACCAUGAGUUAGUCGUGGUUAAAAACGACUAUUACACGAACUAGGUAGACACUCCGAAGCGUUCAACUUAAGAGGUUACAAGAGCUCGGGUGAUGUCAGUUCAUCUUGUUUAAUAAGGAUGUUUGAGGGCUGUGGUCGACUACUAUUUUAGACGUGAAGUCGUCCGUGGUUGUCUAGUGGAGUAAGUCUAUUUGGUCUCUCAAGUGUACACCGUCGUUUAAACACCGUAAGGAGAGGCGAGCACUUUCUAAUAUACGGCUCGAGGAACAUAUCGCCCGGACAAUUCUACGGUAGUUCAUGACUCUCCUCUAGUAGUGGUAAUCAAAUAAGGAUGAGGUGAAGUCUAAGGUUCUUUUACUUCUCCCUUAGAAAAAGACCGGGUUAAGGAUCAUUUCGUCCCAAUUCGUUUGGGAACAAAAGUCGACGACCAGUGUCUCGUAGUCAUUUAAUAGGAGGAGCACAAUACAGUUGUUUUAGUGUGCCUGGUCCAAGAGAAGGUAGACACCGAGGUUUUCAGGGAUCCUAUUGAAGUGACGGUUGUUGUAGGGGGUCUUAAUCACUCGAAGUACUCGACGGAUCCGGAGGACGUGGAAAUCUGUGAGAGGCCGGACCAAACCAACCUAUAAGACCAGGAAACCAUAGUUCCGCCGUUUAAGGAUUGCAUGGUUGGGCACGGAGGGGUGGCAGUUUAUGUCGUAGUGGCGAAGGUGCCGGUGGACGACGGUACUGAGCGUCGAUAAGAUAUGGAAGUUUGUCGGUUUCUUGUGGAUAAUAAUGACACUUAUUCAACAACCUCAGAUCCGUAUCGUCUCUCUCGUCGCUUCAAAGGAGCGGGGGUGAUUGUGGAUAUAGAAACCGUCUACAGAGGGCGUCUAGUUAUCGUCUUUGUUGAUAUCUGUGGUCUUCCUACUUCCUUUGGAGCACUCGUGAGUGUGUAGGUUUGGACAGAUAUUAACAUCCGUUAAAACAUGCAUACAUCAAAAGUAAGAACCAAAAGAAGUUAUCAGAAACCACAUAAAACACUUUGUUUUUCCACUUUAUUUCUAUCGUUAUAAAAUGGAAGUAAGUGUAUACUUUCUGAAGGAUAGGAACCGAAUAAAUAAACCGGAUGAAUAACAUAAUAAAAAUGAGGUACCGAACGUAUAGACUUCAUAAAUAACCUAAAUCCA